AUUGAACGCUGGCGGCAGGCCUAACACAUGCAAGUCGAACGAGUGGCGGACGGGUGAGUAAUGUCUGGGAAACUGCCUGAUGGAGGGGGAUAACUACUGGAAACGGUAGCUAAUACCGCAUACCAUCGGAUGUGCCCAGAUGGGAUUAGCUAGUCGGUGGGGUAAAGGCUCACCUAGGCGACGCGCCCUAGCUGGUCUGAGAGGAUGACCAGCCACACUUGAACUGAGACACGGUCCAGACUACUACGGGAGGCAGAAGUGAGGAAAAUUGCACAAGGGGCGCAAGCCUGAGGCGGCCAUGCCGCGUGUAUGAAGAAGGCCUUCGGGUUGUAAAGUACUUUCAGCGGGGAGGCGUUACCCGCAGGAGAGGCACCGGGUAACUCCGGGCCAGCAGCCGCGGUAAUAG
rnacentral:rRNA from 1 species